rnacentral:rRNA from 1 species
GACGAACGCUGGCGGCGCGCUUAACACAUGCAAGUCGAGCGAAGCGGCGGACGGGUGAGUAACACGUGAGUAACCUGCCUUAGACAUUGGGAUAGCCUCGGGAAACCGGGAUUAAUACCAAAUGGUCUAAGGUGGACUCGCGUCCCAUUAGCUAGUUGGUGGGGAACGGCCCACCAAGGCCACGAUGGGUAGCCGGCCUGAGAGGGGGAACGGCAACAUUGGAACUGAGAGACGGUCCAAACUCUACGGGAGUCAGCAGUGGGGAAUAUUGCACAAUGGAGGAAACUCUGAUGCAGCGACGCCGCGUGAACGAAGAAGGCGUUCGAGUCGUAAAGUUCUUUUAUAUGGGAAGCGGAACCAUAAGAAAAAGCCCCGGCUAACUACGUGCCAGCAGCCGCGGUAAUUC